AUUGAACGCUGGCGGCAGGCCUAACACAUGCAAGUCGAACGGUAACAGGGAUCAGCUUGCUGAUUCGCUGACGAGUGGCGGACGGGUGAGUAAUGUCUGGGAAACUGCCUGAUGGAGGGGGAUAACUACUGGAAACGGUAGCUAAUACCGCAUAACGUCGCAAGACCAAAGAGGGGGACCUUCGGGCCUCUUGCCAUCGGAUGUGCCCAGAUGGGAUUAGCUAGUAGGUGGGGUAACGGCUCACCUAGGCGACGAUCCCUAGCUGGUCUGAGAGGAUGACCAGCCACACUGGAACUGAGACACGGUCCAGACUCCUACGGGAGGCAGCAGUGGGGAAUAUUGCACGAUGGGCGCAAGCCUGAUGCAGCCAUGCCGCGUGUAUGAAGAAGGCCUUCGGGUUGUAAAGUACUUUCAGCGGGGAGGAAGGGAGUAAAGUUAAUACCUUUGCUCAUUGACGUUACCCGCAGAAGAAGCACCGGCUAACUCCAUG
rnacentral:rRNA from 1 species